rfam:Phlebotomus papatasi Contig720.9, whole genome shotgun sequence.
AAAGUUUCAUGGCGGAUAAGUGUGUUUCUAGUGCAUAUAACUAAUUUUUAUUAUGACUAGAUUUACACUCAUCCUCUGUGAAAUUCG